rnacentral:rRNA from 1 species
CCCGCCUGCCCUGUGACCAUGUGUUUAACGGCCGCGGUAUUUUGACCGUGCGAAGGUAGCGCAAUCACUUGUCUUUUAAAUGAAGACCUGUAUGAAUGGCAUAACGAGGGCUAAGCUGUCUCCUUUUUCCAGUCAAUGAAAUUGAUCUGCCCGUGCAGAAGCGGGCAUACUAACAUCAGACGAGAAGACCCUAUGGAGCUUCAGACACCAGGACAGCCUAUGUUAAGAAACCUUUAUAAAGAGAAUAAACCAAGAAGCCCCUGUCCCCCUGUCUUUGGUUGGGGCGACCGCGGGGUAAAAAAUAACCCCCAUGUGGAAUAAGGACACUCCCUUUAAAACCAGGGCCACAGCCCUAGUAAACAGAACAUCUGACCAGCAAGAUCCGGCACCGCCGAUCAACGGACCCAGUUACCCUAGGGAUAACAGCGCAAUCCUCUUAUAGAGCCCAUAUCGACAAGAGGGUUUACGACCUCGAUGUUGGAUCAGGACAUCCUAAUGGUGCAGCCGCUAUUAAGGGUUCGUUUGUUCAACGAUUAAAGUCCUACGUGAUCUG